UGGCAAAGUGCAAGAGACAGUGAUUCAGGGU
rnacentral:piRNA from 1 species